UUUCCUAAGUUUGGUUGUACCCUCCUUAGCUUGCAGGGGCGGCGGCGGGGGGGCUUCCGGUUCGAACGAAUCAGGUCCUAAAGACAACGACACCGGUCCGGGCAUUGCAUGGGACUACGAAAGUUGGAAUGGAGAGCGCAUAGACCCGAACACACUACCAAAUAUAAGUAGCUGGGGUUCUUGGAAGCUCAAUGAGUCCGAUCAGACUUGGAAAUAUUAUAUGGAAAUCUACAAUAAUAUGACUUUAGCAUUUAAUGUGUCUUCGGGUGGAUUUGGUGCAAACGGUUCUUAUCCGAAUGGAUUUCCUGAAGAAUGGAAAGCCUAUGGUACUCCAUCAUUUGGUGUGCCGCCACCUCCUUGGGCAAAGUUCGCUAACCACUAUGGACGUCCGGAUGUCUGUUAUCUUUCCCCGGCGUAUGGAGACUGCACAGCGCAGUAUAUAAGGUGGGCGUUCGAACCAGUACAAGAAAAAUGCUUACCAUUUCAGUGGUCUGGGUGCGGGGGUAAUGAUAACAACUUCGAGUUCAAACAGAGCUGUGAGGAUACUUGCAGUAAAGUGCCUAACUCACUUUGCCUAUCUGAAGACUUUACCAAAUUCGAAGACUUCCUGACUAACUAAUGUUUAACUUAAAUUAUUAUAUUAUUGUCCUCAUAAAAAUAAAUUUUAUCUACAAGUUCAGA